rnacentral:rRNA from 1 species
GACGAACGCUGGCGGUGUGCUUAACACAUGCAAGUCGAACGGAAAGGCCCUGCUUUUGUGGGGUGCUCGAGUGGCGAACGGGUGAGUAACACGUGAGUAACCUGCCCUUGACUUUGGGAUAACUUCAGGAAACUGGGGCUAAUACCGGAUAGGAGCUCCUGCUGCAUGGUGGGGGUUGGAAAGUUUCGGCGGUUGGGGAUGGACUCGCGGCUUAUCAGCUUGUUGGUGGGGUAGUGGCUUACCAAGGCUUUGACGGGUAGCCGGCCUGAGAGGGUGACCGGCCACAUUGGGACUGAGAUACGGCCCAGACUCCUACGGGAGGCAGCAGUGGGGAAUAUUGCACAAUGGGCGGAAGCCUGAUGCAGCAACGCCGCGUGCGGGAUGACGGCCUUCGGGUUGUAAACAGCUUUCGCCUGUGACGAAGCGUGAGUGACGGUAAUGGGUAAAGAAGCACCGGCUAACUACGUG